CCUGCGUUGCGCAUUGAAAAAGGUAUACGAGCAGCUCCUAAAUCAGAUGUUUGCCUUUUAAUUGCAUUGAAAAGUGAACCACAGUGGAUGAACCACGUACGAAAAAUACGUCACACUUUGUCAAUGUUUACAGGAAUUUCCUAUAUGAAUCGAAUAAAUAUUCAGCCUGAGCUGUGCACAUGUCCUUCAACGUUUUAGUCACAUUACAUUGUAAUUAAUGCAUGGUACAAUCUAUGAAAACUUGGUGAAUAACUGAUUAAAUAGUGAAUUUAAUCACAAUC